CAGCAGCCGCGGUAAUACGUAGGGUGCGAGCGUUAAUCGGAAUUACUGGGCGUAAAGCGUGCGCAGGCGGUUGUGUAAGACAGGUGUGAAAUCCCCGGGCUUAACCUGGGAACUGCGCUUGUGACUGCACAGCUAGAGUAUGGCAGAGGGGGGUGGAAUUCCACGUGUAGCGGUGAAAUGCGUAGAGAUGUGGAGGAACACCGAUGGCGAAGGCAGCCCCCUGGGCCAAUACUGACGCUCAUGCACGAAAGCGUGGGGAGCAAACAGGAUUAGAUACCCGCGUAGUCCCUGUCUCUUAUAC
rnacentral:rRNA from 1 species